AUACGGAGGGUGCGAGCGUUGUUCGGAAUUAUUGGGCGUAAAGCGAGCGCAGGCGGUUCCUUAAGUCUGAUGUGAAAGCCCCGGGCUCAACCUGGGAAGUGCAUUGGAUACUGGCAGACUUGAAUACGGGAGAGGGCAGUGGAAUUCCUGGUGUAGGAGUGAAAUCCGUAGAUAUCAGGAGGAACACCGGUGGCGAAGGCGGCUGCCUGGACCGAUAUUGACGCUGAGACGCGAAAGCGUGGGUAGC
rnacentral:rRNA from 1 species